rfam:Gossypium hirsutum cultivar TM-1 chromosome 8, whole genome shotgun sequence
AAUUCAUGAUGUGGGCACUUCCUUAGUAUCAUCUUAAAACUCUCUCAUGCCUCGUACAAAGAUUCACCUUUUUAUUGUUUGAAAUUUUUGAUUUCUCAUCGGAGCU